rnacentral:rRNA from 1 species
AGCGCAGGUGGUUUAUUAAGUCUGGUGUAAAAGGCAGUGGCUCAACCAUUGUAUGCAUUGGAAACUGGUAGACUUGAGUGCAGGAGAGGAGAGUGGAAUUCCAUGUGUAGCGGUGAAAUGCGUAGAUAUAUGGAGGAACACCGGUGGCGAAAGCGGCUCUCUGGCCUGUAACUGACACUGAGGCUCGAAAGGCGUGGGAGCAAACA